UUGGCCAUGAUCCGCCUCUCCAAGCCAAAGCUCAGUCUACAUCCCAAAAUGGCACCCUGUUCCCUAUAUAGUGCACUACUUUUGACCAGAGCCCUAUAUAGGGAAUAGGGUGCCGUUUGGGAUAUAGGCCUGGUCUGAGGUUAGUCCCCACAGUAACAGAAUGGAUAUAGCCCUGGUCUGAGGUUAGUCCCCACAGUAACAGAAUGGAUAUAGCCCUGGUCUGAGGUUAGUCCCCACAGUAACAGAAUGGAUAUAGCCCUGGUCUGAGGUUAGUCCCCACAGUAACAGAAUGGAUAUAGCCCUGGUCUGAGGUUAGUCCCCACAGUAACAGAAUGGAUAUAGCCCUGGUCUGAGGUGAGUCCCCACAGUAACAGAAUGGAUAUAGCCCUGGUCUGAGGUUAGUCCCCACAGUAACAGAAUGGAUAUAGCCCUGGUCUGAGGUUAGUCCCCACAGUAACAGAAUGGAUAUAGCCCUGGUCUGAGGUUAGUCCCCACAGUAACAGAAUGGAUAUAGCCCUGGUCUGAGGUUAGUCCCCACAGUAACAGAAUGGAUAUAGCCCUGGUCUGAGGUUAGUCCCCACAGUAACAGAAUGGAUAUAGCCCUGGUCUGAGGUUAGUCCCCACAGUAACAGAAUGGAUAUAGCCCUGGUCUGAGGUUAGUCCCCACAGUAACAGAAUGGAUAUAGCCCUGGUCUGAGGUUAGUCCCCACAGUAACAGAAUGGAUAUAGCCCUGGUCUGAGGUUAGUCCCCACAGUAACAGAAUGGAUAUAGCCCUGGUCUGAGGUUAGUCCCCACAGUAACAGAAUGGAUAUAGCCCUGGUCUGAGGUUAGUCCCCACAGUAACAGAAUGGAUAUAGCCCUGGUCUGAGGUUAGUCCCCACAGUAACAGAAUGGAUAUAGCCCUGGUCUGAGGUUAGUCCCCACAGUAACAGAAUGGAUAUAGCCCUGGUCUGAGGUUAGUCCCCACAGUAACAGAAUGGAUAUAGCCCUGGUCUGAGGUUAGUCCCCACAGUAACAGAAUGGAUAUAGCCCUGGUCUGAGGUUAGUCCCCACAGUAACAGAAUGGAUAUAGCCCUGGUCUGAGGUUAGUCCCCACAGUAACAGAAUGGAUAUAGCCCUGGUCUGAGGUUAGUCCCCACAGUAACAGAAUGGAUAUAGCCCUGGUCUGAGGUUAGUCCCCACAGUAACAGAAUGGAUAUGAGUAUUAUUCCAUAUUAAUAACACAAACCGUAGAGUUUGUAUAGAAAUGUGAUUCCCUUUGUGAUUCAGGGACUAGUGGUGUACGGUAUCUACAGCCAUAUGUAACUAGUGAUUCAGGGACUAGUGGUGUACGGUAUCUACAGCCAUAUG